AUUCCAGCUCCAAUAGCGUAUAUUAAAAUUGUUGCGGUUAAAACGCUCGUAGUUGGAUAUCUGUGAGCGGGUUCCGGUCCUUCCCAGUGAAGAUACACGGAACUCUGCUCGCAUUUGUUCAGGGAGGGUGGAUGCACUUCACUGUGUGACCACAUGGUCUGAAUUUUUACUUUGAGGAAAUGAGAGUGUUCCAAGCAGGCAAUUGCCGUGAAUAUGAUAGCAUGGAAUAAUAGCACAGGACUCUUGGUUCAAUGCUGUUGGUUUGUUGAACUAGAGUAAUCACAAUAAGGAUAGUUGGGGGUAUUCGUAUUUAACUGUCAGAGGUGAAAUUCUUGGAUUUUUUAAAGACGAACAAUUGCGAAGGCAUCUACCCAGGAUGUUUUCAUUG
rnacentral:rRNA from 1 species